rnacentral:lncRNA from 1 species
AAUUUCAGAAUACUGACUAAAGUUGUACAGUAAGUCGGUUGCAGACAAGAAACUGGUUCUCACCAGCAGUUAUUAUUCCUACUCUGGGAUUUUUAAGAUGAAGUUUACGUUGAAUUUAAAUAGUUGAGUUCCCAAAUAGUUCAUUUUAAUUUCACAUUUUCUUUCUCAAAUAUGAUUCUUGCCUACCCUUCGUCUCUCUCGUCUGGUCAGGACCUGUCCAUGCAACAGCCUCCAAACCAUUCUGGCAGCAACUUUGGCGUCAAUCCAAAGUAAGUAGAAUCCAUUGUAAUAAUAUUUUAGUUCAUCCAUGAUUUUUUG